rnacentral:piRNA from 1 species
UGGAAGUGUAGGAUACCGUGCAGAAGGUC